rnacentral:rRNA from 1 species
AACCUGCGGAAGGAUCAUUAUUGAAAU